rnacentral:rRNA from 1 species
AUACGUAGGGGGCAAGCGUUGUCCGGAUUCAUUGGGCGUAAAGAGCUCGUAGGCGGUUCAGUAAGUCAGGUGUGAAAGCUCCGAGCUCAACUCGGAGAGGCCACCUGAUACUGCUGUGACUUGAGUCCAGUAGAGGAGCGUGGAACUCCUGGUGUAGCGGUGGAAUGCGCAGAUAUCAGGAAGAACACCUGCAGCGAAGGCGGCGCUCUGGGCUGGAACUGACGCUGAGGAGCGAAAGCAUGGGUAGCAAACAGGAUUAGAUACCCUGGUAGUCCAUGCCGUAAACGUUGGGCACUAGGUGUGGGGAGCCGUCAACGCUCUCUGUGCCGUAGCUAACGCAUUAAGUGCCCCGCCUGGGGAGUACGGCCGCAAGGCUAAA